rnacentral:tRNA from 1 species
GGGGCUGUAGCUCAGUUGGAAGAGCACUUGCAUGGCAUGCAAGGGGUCAGGGGUUCGAGCCCCCUCAGCUCCACCA